CAUCACGGCUCGCCCUCGCUUUCAAGCGCUCUUCCUCUCUCGUUCUUCGCCUUCCUCUCUCACUCGCACAAACAGCGGCGUGGCGACCAUACAGCCUGUUCUCGCGCUUGAGCUCACCGCUGCUGUGCUUUCUGCUCUCGUUUUGUGUGUCGCGUUCUCCCGUAUUCCAGCAGGGCCUCCCUCCCUCAAUGGACUCCACCGAUCGGAAGGCCGACAAGGCACCUGUGGCGUCCUCGAAGAUGGAUGGUGCAGCCAAGGGCGCGAAGCCUGGCUCGUUCGCCCUCGGCGACGCCGUUCCCGGCUAUGCAGGCGCUGAGGACGGCCCACUUGUGCAACAGCUUCCAAUGCCGUCACAUAUAAUGCCGUACUACGGGCAGUAUCCUGCCAUGUGCGCUCUCCCUCCCGGUGCCGCGCCGAUGGGAUUUCCCAUGCCGCCGCAAACCGGCGCCGGCUCACCGCAAAUGUGGAUGCCCGGCAUGGUGCCACCCCCACCUGGCGCAAACCCGAACGCGACUCUCACGCCCCAUCCCUACGUAUCGCAGUAUGGUGCCGGCGCGCAGCCUUUGAUGUACAUGCCAUUAUCAUAUAGCUACCCGCCGUGCAUGGCAGCAACUGCGGUCACCCCUGCCCCGGCGAUGGGAGCCUCCUUCAACGGGCAGCAGUCCGCGAAGCCGGCGCCGCAGGGAGCGACUCCCCCGUACACUGCCACAAUGGCUGCACCUCCUCAUCCGCAUUCAAGCGCCGCCGAAACACCGAUGCUCUCUUCACCUUUCAUGGAAGCAUCAUCAGCGAACAGCACAGCACCGGCACUCCCAGUUGCGCCGGCGCCCGUGCCCGUGCCGAGCAUGACUCCCCUCGAGUUCUCCGUGAGGCCACUGAUGCCUAACACCAAGUUGCCACCUGGCGACUCGUUCUGUCCAGCAGGUGCGACAGUACCGUCACAAUACGCGACUGCGUCUGCUGCCUGCUUCUCUGAUGCCGCUGCCGUUGAUGCCUCGCUGUCGCCGCGACCGCAUCCCAGCAACAGCGUGACGGACGACUUCCCGGCUAUGUCGCAGCAGGGGGAGUCGCAGCCAAUCAUUGUGGCGGCUGCUGCUGGCCUAAGCGCAUCCUAGCGCGUUCCGUUCCGCUUUGCUGCCGGACCGGCCCCAUUCGCGGUGGCCACUGCUGCGCCCUGCCCGAAAUGCCAACUGCAGGCUUUGCCAGGAAGCCGUGCGUGAUGACCGGGGGCGUGUGCUGCUCUCGUUUGACCUGUUGGGCUCUUGCCUGUCGUCGGGUCUCAGCUUUGCCUGUUCUUGAUUUGCGUCUGUCGGGCGCUGCUGGCAUCGCUGCUACAAAUGGAUGAUGCCCCGGCCGCGCCAGGGCAGCGCGGAGGAGACGGAAGGGAGGGGGGGGGAGUGAACAGCGCGAGCAUGGUGGAGGAUGGACGCCUUUUUUCUUUGUCCGAUGUGAGAGUGGGCGCGCCGCCUGCACGUCUGCCUUCUUUUUUGUUGCGGCGUUGCCUUUGCUUCAUCGCAGCGCCUGUGUGAUUGUUGCUGGCUGUGCUUCAAGGCACACGCACGCACAUGCGUUCGUGUGCACGUGCUUGUGCACGCCUGUGCGCACGUGUGAACCUUCUUGGGUAUGAGCGCUUUUACGUCUACGAAGAGGCGCUGCUUGAGCUGAGCAUUGCUUUAUUUGGUUUCGGGCCCGCUGUCCGCCUCUGAGAUACGGGAGACGGCCUAAAAGAGUGCGAGCCCAAGCCCUCGCUCCGCGUGUGUGCAAAGUCAAG
rnacentral:misc_RNA from 1 species